UACGUCAACUGUCAUUUUAAUGACAUUGACAGGACAGUAUCCACUCAUUCAUUCGCUGAUUUUGCUCGCUCAUUCAAUCAAUCAUUCAUUCACUCAAUUCUUUUCGAAAUUCCGAGAAAAAAAUCUUGAUUCCGAAAUAUUCGGAAAUAAAAGCAAACAAAUGAUGGUCAUUUUACCGUAUUUACAUUGUUUACCGUAUAAACAAGAUGGUUUCUUAUUAUCACCAAAUGCAUCGUGACUGGUUGCUCGUCCACCAAGUCCAGGGUUUUUUCUCUAGCACGUGAUGAAGCAUUGCAGGCUCUAAGGAUACAGUACCUCCUGCCUGCAAAUCCUUUAUCAGGAACUAUGACAAAGGAGCAACUUCGUCAAAGAAAGGUCUGCCAAUCACAUUUUGAGGAUAAAUAAAUCUAAAACAAUCUAUUGGUUAUGACAAUGAUGAAUGGAUGUCAUAUUCAACCGACUUCUUUUUAUUUAUCCAUGAAGAAAAUAAUAACAUCUCGGCGACCAUCCAAGCUGUUGCUGAUCAGGUCAUCCAGUAAGUUAAACUGCUAAUAGAGAUAACUUCAAUUCAAUGUUGUUGCCAGAUAAUGCUGUGAGUGAAGAAACUAUAUCCUGCCAUCUACAUCAGAGCCACAUCUGUCAUUAUGGAUAAUAUUAUUGCUGCGUCCUAAGGUUCAGCUUGCUAAUAAACCCAUCAAGCAGAGGCGGUACACACAAACAAAAGGUGGACUCUUUGGUUUUUUUAAAACGGAGCCCGAAAGCGUAUGAGCUAUUGCGCCACAUAUUUAUUUUGCCUAGUCAACGAUCAAGAAAAUGAAGGUAUUGAGUGAAAAAACUGCCGCAAUGAUACAGCCCCAAAUUUGAUUCCGGCCCAGUGUAUAGUUUUUUUAACUAAAGUUUUUUGUUAUUUUUGCCUCAAGAAUGUACUUAUUGUGAAUUUCUUUGUUAAUGGCUGUAUAGUUUUACUUGAGUCAAAGAAAAUCGUAGUUGUUGUAUAAAAAAAUAAUUUAUAAAUCUAUUAGGGUACAUUUUA